ACAAAAGCAAUGAAGAGAAAAAGUAAAAUGAUCAGGUUUUUCACCAGAGAGCUUCGGUAGCUGAGAAGAAGCAAAAAUCACUCAUUUGAACAAUGGUCUCUGAGCUUCGUACUGAACAUACUUAGGUAUAAGUAGGCUGCGACGGGAUUUGGCAUCCGUUAUUCAUGUCACAGUAUAAGAGUAAGCUAUUCAUACUCCGUACUUGUUGAGACAAAUAGUGUGAGCUAUUUGUAUAGUAAGGUGGUACCGUGUGGUUUUAUGAACCUCGCCCUUAAC
rnacentral:ncRNA from 1 species